UGAACACCAACGACGUUGGAGUGAGACGAAGUAGUUGACAUGAUGGUCUUUUAAAUAUUCCACUAUGUUAAAUGCAGUUUUCUUUAAAAUGUUUUUGAUUAAAAGAGCGUUCCGGUUUGUUAAAUGUUGAUGUCUUUCGCACUCGAAAGUUAAAGAUGGUUACGGGUAGAAAAAUGAAGUAGAUGCCGCUAAAAUCCACAAAGAUUCCAUGAAAAACACAAAGA